rnacentral:rRNA from 1 species
CCUACGGGUGGCUGCAGUGGGGAAUAUUGGACAUUGGGCGAAAGCCUGAUCCAGCCAUGCCGCGUGUGUGAAGAAGGCCUUCGGGUUGUAAAGCACUUUCAGUGGGGAAGAAAGCCUUGGGGCUAAUACCCUCGAGGAAGGACAUCACCCACAGAAGAAGCACCGGCUAACUCCGUGCCAGCAGCCGCGGUAAUACGGAGGGUGCGAGCGUUAAUCGGAAUUACUGGGCGUAAAGCGCGCGUAGGCGGUCUGAUAAGCCGGUUGUGAAAGCCCCGGGCUCAACCUGGGAACGGCAUCCGGAACUGUCAGGCUAGAGUGCAGGAGAGGAAGGUAGAAUUCCCGGUGUAGCGGUGAAAUGCGUAGAGAUCGGGAGGAAUACCAGUGGCGAAGGCGGCCUUCUGGACUGACACUGACGCUGAGGUGCGAAAGCGUGGGUAGCAAACAGGAUUAGAUACCCGUGUAGUC